GGUCAGCGGUCGCCGUUCGCAGCCCCUUAUUUGAGCCUCGAGGCGCCCCCGGGGCGGCGCGAUCUGCAGGGCAGGAGUGUACGGCCAACAGGGAUAAGGUAAGCCCAGGUUGGACCAGGUAAGCGAUCCGAGUCUGGCGCGGGCUGACCGAGAGUACGGCAGUACAACACAGGUAUAGCUGCGGUCGUUCAGACUUAAGUAUGCGGAAGGUACAGUCUGGGGUGCAUCGAGUGAAUCAAGUGCACAAAGGUUGGUCCACACACCACGGGAGGCAGAGCCAUGGUUAUAAAGACAGGUACACCCAGGCGGGCACCUUUCUCAUUGAGACAGGAAGACUCAACAGGUAACCGUGACUGGAGCAGGUACACAGAAGUGGGGCCCCACCCAGGGCCAAGUACAUUUUUUUUUUUUUUUUUCUGAAAUAAGGACCUUGCUGGGAUAGAAAGGCAGCACCAGGAGCUCCAGUUCCAUGGCACCAGGUGCCACCUAUGUCACUUUUGAAAUCACCAGUGACCCCACCUAGCUAACUCCCUGCUUUGUUGCCUGGUCAUCUUUAAAGACCCCGAAGGAUCUCCACGUCAGUGCCCCCCAGGCACAGCAACCCCAGGAGCUGGCCUCCAGGAGAGAGAGAAAACAAGCCUUCCCCCAGAUCACAUCCAGGGCUGGGCUCCUCUCUGUGCUCCCCACCACUCCUGCUGAGCACUGUGUGUGCCAGUAGCCUUAAUCUUCACACAAGGGCCACUUUUAGAGUUGAGAAAAGUUCAGUGAAAAGUGCUGUAUAUUUAGACAUGUGCUCAUGUGUAGUAACUCCCUUUAAGAUAGUAAGAAUAUUAAAUGAGUCCAGAUUAAUCAGCAUAAUGAUGAUAGUCAACCACAGCGAUAAUGCCUCGCAUUUAUGGAGGACUCACUGGGCGGCAGGCACGGUGCCAACGCCUUGCAGACACUUCCGUGCCUUUGCAUCUCUCCUCCUCGGCCCAGGAGUGCUCUCCCCUUCUUCCCUGGCUACAGCUGCCUGGCCAAUUCUGUUCCUCUUUUGGAUGAUGUCACCUCCUCUGUGAGGCCUGCCCAGACUCCUUUGGUGCUGAGUUGCUUCCUCCUUAGUGCUCCCACAGCACCCUGCCUGUGUCCCUACGUGCUGGAUUGUGAUUGCCUGCUUGGACCGCCUCCGGGGCCAGGGCCGGGCUGGGACUCCGCCUGUAAUCCCUGGCCCCGUGCUACCCAGCACUGUGCCAGUGGGAGCCAGCAGGGCUGGGGGAUGAGUCACGCAGCUCCGUGUCCUCCCAGAGUGAGCUGCAGUCUCGCUCUCUUCCGGCUUGUAAAGGCAGCUCUUUCCCGAGAAGCUGACUCUCUUCUGCAGAACGCAGGGCUGCUCUGGGGAAACCCUCCUCCACUUACCCCUGGAUUUUGCACACCCCGGCCCCAAACCCCAGGAGACCUCUGGAUCAAAUGUGCCGAGCCCACACCCCUUCCUCUGCCUCUUGCAUGCCGGUCCCAGUGGCUUGGCUUGCCAGCUUCCUUCCUGGAGCCUUCCUGCUCUCCUGCCAUCUGCCUUCACCUGGCCAGCCUGGGCGGGGUCUGCAGAGUUCCAGGAAUGGUCACCCACUAGAUGGGCGAUGGGGAGAGGUUGGAGAGGGAAAGGUCCCAGGAAUUACUUUGCCCUUUGGUAACUCCACUGGGAAGCUCAGAUGGGAGCACACAGGAGCUAGGUCACCUCUGUAGGAAGAGUGGGCAGACUGCCCCCGAGCCUUAGCAGAGUGGUUUUGCAGAGGUUCAGUUCCACAAGGUCUCUUGGAAAUGGAGAAAGGGACAGAUUCCUUUCAUGUUUUGAGCUCCUAGUAUGUUUUACAUUUUAUUUUAUUUUUCUAUUCUAUUCAUUUUCUUUUUUCUUUACUUUUCUUUUCUUUUCUGUGCCCAUGGCAUACAUUUGGGCCAGGGAUCAAACCUAUGUCACAGUAGUGACAACACCGGAUCCUUAAACACUAGGCUACCAGGGAACUCCAGCUUCCAGUAUAUUUUAAAAAGACUUGUCACAGUAGAGCUACAAAAAUUGAAGUGUGGGAGUUCCCUGGUGACACAACAAGUUAAGGAUCCAGCGUUGUCACUGAAGUAGCUUGGGUCACUGCUGUGGCUUGGGUUCAGUCCCUGGCCCGGGAACUUCCACACACCACAGGUGUGGCCAGAAAAAAUUGAAUUGUGUUUUAAAAUUUAAUCGAGUUUUCACUGUGGUGCAGCAGAUUAAGGAUCCAGUGUUGUCUCUGUGGUGGUACAGGUUCAAUCCCCAGUCUGGAGCAGUGGGUUAAGGAUCCAUUGUUGCCCCAGCUGUGGCAUAGGGCCCAUCUGUGGCUUGGAUUUGCUCCCUGGCCAGGGAACUUCCAUAUGCUGUGGG
rnacentral:lncRNA from 1 species